GGCUUACACAUGCAGUCGAACGAUGACUAUCUAGCUUGCUAGAUAUGAUUAGUGGCGAACGGGUGAGUAAUGCUUAGGAAUCUGCCUAGUAGUGGGGGAUAACUAUCCGAAAGGAUAGCUAAUACCGCAUACGACCUACGGGUGAAAGGGGGCUUUUAGCUCUCGCUAUUAGAUGAGCCUAAGUCGGAUUAGCUAGUUGGUGGGGUAAAGGCCUACCAAGGCGACGAUCUGUAGCUGGUCUGAGAGGAUGAUCAGCCACACUGGGACUGAGACACGGCCCAGACUCCUACGGGAGGCAGCAGUGGGGAAUAUUGGACAAUGGGCGAAAGCCUGAUCCAGCCAUGCCGCGUGUGUGAAGAAGGCCUUUUGGUUGUAAAGCACUUUAAGUAGGGAGGAAAAGCUUGUGGUUAAUACCCACAAGCCCUGACGUUACCUACAGAAUAAGCACCGGCUAACUCUGUGCCAGCAGCCGCGGUAAUACAGAGGGUGCAAGCGUUAAUCGGAAUUACUGGGCGUAAAGCGAGCGUAGGUGGUCAUUUAAGUCAGAUGUGAAAGCCCCGGGCUUAACCUGGGAACUGCAUCUGAUACUGGAUGACUAGAGUAGGUGAGAGGGAAGUAGAAUUCCAGGUGUAGCGGUGAAAUGCGUAGAGAUCUGGAGGAAUACCGAUGGCGAAGGCAGCUUCCUGGCAUCAUACUGACACUGAGGUCGAAAGCGUGGGUAGCAAACAGGAUUAGAUACCCUGGUAGUCCACGCCGUAAACGAUGUCUACCAGUCGUUGGGUCUCUUGAAGACUUAGUGACGCAGUUAACGCAAUAAGUAGACCGCCUGGGGAGUACGGCCGCAAGGUUAAAACUCAAAUGAAUUGACGGGGGCCCGCACAGCGUGGAGCAUGUGGUUUAAUUCGAUGCAACGCGAGACUUACCUGGUCUUGACAUACCAAG
rnacentral:rRNA from 1 species